GAUGAACGCUAGCUACAGGCUUAACACAUGCAAGUCGAGGGGCAUCAGGAAGAAAGCUUGCUUUCUUUGCUGGCGACCGGCGCACGGGUGAGUAACACGUAUCCAACCUGCCCUUUACUCGGGGAUAGCCUUUCGAAAGAAAGAUUAAUACCCGAUAGCAUAAUGAUUCCGCAUGGUUUCAUUAUUAAAGGAUUCCGGUAAAGGAUGGGGAUGCGUUCCAUUAGGUUGUUGGUGAGGUAACGGCCCACCAAGCCUUCGAUGGAUAGGGGUUCUGAGAGGAAGGUCCCCCACAUUGGAACUGAGACACGGUCCAAACUCCUACGGGAGGCAGCAGUGAGGAAUACUGGUCAAUGGGCGCUAGCCUGAACCAGCCAAGUAGCGUGAAGGAUGAAGGCUCUAUGGGUCGUAAACUUCUUUUAUAUAAGAAUAAAGUGCAGUAUGUAUACUGUUUUGUAUGUAUUAUAUGAAUAAGGAUCGGCUAACUCCGUGCCAGCAGCCGCGGUAAUACGGAGGAUCCGAGCGUUAUCCGGAUUUAUUGGGUUUAAAGGGAGCGUAGGUGGACUGGUAAGUCAGUUGUGAAAGUUUGCGGCUCAACCGUAAAAUUGCAGUUGAUACUGUCAGUCUUGAGUACAGUAGAGGUGGGCGGAAUUCGUGGUGUAGCGGUGAAAUGCUUAGAUAUCACGAAGAACUCCGAUUGCGAAGGCAGCUCACUGGACUGCAACUGACACUGAUGCUCGAAAGUGUGGGUAUCAAACAGGAUUAGAUACCCUGGUAGUCCACACAGUAAACGAUGAAUACUCGCUGUUUGCGAUAUACAGUAAGCGGCCAAGCGAAAGCAUUAAGUAUUCCACCUGGGGAGUACGCCGGCAACGGUGAAACUCAAAGGAAUUGACGGGGGCCCGCACAAGCGGAGGAACAUGUGGUUUAAUUCGAUGAUACGCGAGGAACCUUACCCGGGCUUAAAUUGCAGUGGAAUGAUGUGGAAACAUGUCAGUGAGCAAUCACCGCUGUGAAGGUGCUGCAUGGUUGUCGUCAGCUCGUGCCGUGAGGUGUCGGCUUAAGUGCCAUAACGAGCGCAACCCUUAUCUUUAGUUACUAACAGGUUAUGCUGAGGACUCUAGAGAGACUGCCGUCGUAAGAUGUGAGGAAGGUGGGGAUGACGUCAAAUCAGCACGGCCCUUACGUCCGGGGCCACACACGUGUUACAAUGGGGGGUACAGAAGGCAGCUAGCGGGUGACCGUAUGCUAAUCCCAAAAUCCUCUCUCAGUUCGGAUCGAAGUCUGCAACCCGACUUCGUGAAGCUGGAUUCGCUAGUAAUCGCGCAUCAGCCACGGCGCGGUGAAUACGUUCCCGGGCCUUGUACACACCGCCCGUCAAGCCAUGGGAGCCGGGGGUACCUGAAGUACGUAACCGCAAGGAUCGUCCUAGGGUAAAACUGGA
rnacentral:rRNA from 1 species